CCCAUCUCCACCCGACUCUAUGGUGGCCGCAACAGCUGAGCCCACCCCAGCCCAGAGCUGCCAAGCCCACAUACUGCGCUAAAUUCCCGGGGCAGCCUGGCUCGCUUCCCCGCCCGGGCUGGGUCGGGCCGCUCCGUGAGCCAUAGACGCUGCACAGGAGGACCAGGCCUGCCUCGCCUUCUACCGGGGGCUCGGGCAGAGGGAGCUGCUGCGGGAUCUCUGCCGGGCCGUGCUCACCUUCCUGGAGAAGCUGGACUGGAGCAGUUCGCAGGGUAAAACCUAAAGCUCAUCUGACAUGGAGGGGAAAAAAAGCCUCCUCUCCUCAUUGGAAGCAUAGGGAUUUGGAAAGAAUACUGGUAAGUAAACUUAUCGAUUGAUGUGAAAGUCAGACACUACCUUUGGGGUGAAUUCUGGGCAAAGGGAAGCCUUUUCCUUACGGAAUAUGGUAUGUGGCAGGUUGGCCAUGAGUGCUGCCAGUUCACUCACCCUCCUGGCUGACGUGAUAGCGACAGGGAAGGCAACCUUCAUAAACAGAUGGGACAUUGAGCAUGUAGCCAACGGUUCAAAGGGUAUUCUGGUAAUUAGUAAAAGAAUGAGAUUGAGGUCCCACUGUGGUGUUGCACUACUGGUGGGAAGGUCCUAGAGAGACCCUUCAGGAAUCUGGUUCUUAUCAGGUCAGUAAAACUAGACUAGCCCUUUACCAGAGGGUGGAAGGUACUGAUUGCUGCUAGGUGGAUCUGAAGCAAGCUGACAGAAAGGCCUGACGUCUUGAGAAUGAGAAGGUAGUGUGGAAUAGCAGGAACACCUGCUGUGUCUGGAAAUAACUAGUUCUGUUACAUCCAGGUAGAGAAAUACCUCCAUGCAGCUAGAUGCAUCUUCUGGUGGAGUCUUUUCUGGCGUGGUUGAAAAGAGCUUGAAUGGCCUCUGAACAUGAACGCUUUAGAUUUGAAACCCAUCCAAAUACCAGGCUAUGAGGUUUGGGUUGGGAUGUCUGAUCCCACUGUUCUCUUGAGUUAGCAGAAGUGGGAAGGAUUGAAUGCUAAUGGCAGAGUGGGUUGACACUCUCAGGAGGUUCAGAAACCAAAAUUGUCUGGACAGUGGGUGCAAUAAAAAUGAGUUAUGUUUUCUUAUGGCAAAUUUUCCCCAGAACCUGAGCAGCAGUGGAAUGGGAGGAAAGGCAUACCUCAGGUGUUCUGUCCAUGAUAGAAGUCCUGAGCUAGUACUGCUCUGGAGCAGUACUGGCUGACCUUCUUGUUUGUCUGGGAAGUGAACAGGUCCCAGGAUGGCAUUCCUCACUGAGUGAAGGUUUAGUUUAGGACUGAACUGUGAAUCUCCCACUCAUGAUCUGCGGAGCAGUGUCUGCUGAGAUUGUCUGCCAGAGAGUUUUGUGCACUGGGGAAGUACAUCAUUGAGAGUGUAAUGUGAUUCUGCAGCUUGCUAGUUGGCACCAGAGUUGCGCACCUUAUACUUAUGGCUGAGAGGUUUAAGCUGGCCUAAGUCUUUAGGACCUGAGCCUGAGGACUCACCCAGUUUGGAAGGAGUCAAGGAGGGAUCCUUUCUUUUGUGAUCAGAUCUGGAAGUGGAUCUGGUUUUGUGUCCGUGAGAGUGUCCCGUCCCUUAGUCUAACGAGAGGCCUGAGACGAGUCCUUAGGCUUUACAGACCUGGUCUCUGCUUCAGAGAUCGUGGUCAGAGGGAUGCUGCUCGCAGAUUUAGGCUGAUGUACAGGAGGGUCCUCCCAGCCUGGAUUUCACUGGGAUCUCCUGGCUUUCUCCAUGAGGUGCAUCCUCAGUUGAAGCUCUCCUCCCUUUUGGGUUUGGGUAGGGAAGGAGCAGCAGAAGCUGAACUUGGCAGAGACGUGAGCCUCCCCAGGCAAUAAGGACAGCGUGGAUGGCUGGCGCUGGCAGAGAAGGAACGUGGAACAGAGAGACAGUUCUUAAACCCCAGAACUCUGGGCACAGACCUUCUCCUGGGGGUAGGGAGGGGAUUGGGAAGGGUCCCUGAGGUGGGGAAAAACUACUCUAUUCUAACUAAAAAGCAACUAGAAAAGCACUCAAACCACUAAAAUUCUAAGAACUAUUUACAAUAUGUUUACAGAUAAGAUGAUGAAGCUGCUUCGGACACAGAGGAUUCCGACUCAGGCCAUGUAGUGGUCAGAAGGAACUGGGGAGGCCGACAGGCCACACCUCACCUUACACCCUGGGUACUGAGCACAAGGAACGCCAGGGAACAGGAGUGGACCAACGGACACUAAUUGCCAAUUCUCCAGUCUCAGGAGCAUGGAGUGCAUGUAUACCCACAUGUGGAAUACACACAGGGACCAGCACUCGAAGAAAAACCACCAGAAGACCCCAACAAGGGAAACUAAGAAAAACAAGACUGCACAUACUCCAAACCAAAGUAUAGUGAAACUAAUAGAGCUAGGUACCCAUGCAGGAGGGGAUAAUAUUUGGAAAGACCGAAGGCCUGGGUUUCCCUUCAAAAAGCAGAUAAUCUCCUCUUAGAACAAGGAUCAUUGCCUUUCAGGCUACUAUUAGUAGAUAGCGCCAAGGAACAGCUAUGAAUGGAGACACACACUGAUAAUAGCAAAUAAAAACAUAACUACGCAUCCUUCACCUUUGUAGCUUAAGUUUUGAUACCUUCCUCUAGCUGUGUCCACAUGGGACUAAAAGUAAAUGGCUUCUUUUUUAAGACAGAACAUUGUUUAAAUGACACUAUAAUUAGGAUCUCUUUGUUGAUCAGGGAGUUACAAUUGCUGCCUGCAUAUUCCAAGGAGUGAAAGAUCCUCUAAUCUCAAGGAGGUAUCAGGUGGAGGUAGCUGUCCUGCAAUCAUCUCAAAUCAGCAAAAGGGACUCAUCUAGGGGCUGCAGGCUCUACCUUUGCAGGUGCUACAGCAUUGGAGUGGAGGCUCAGGUUAUAUAAAGUGACCUUAAAAUUAGUAGGACAUGGUUGCCCACUGUUACAAUUGUCCUUGAAAUAUUCGCUGGAAACAGAUUAAGCAACUUCUUGCACAGCGCACAAAGCUGUAUAGUCAAAUGUCAUCUCUCAUAAUAUUCUCCUGUGUCUUCUGCAGCUUGAAGGCAGCCCAACAGCCCAAGUGUUACUUCAGAUCAUCGUUUUCUAUAAUACACAAUUUUUCCCACCCAAAAUACUGAUGCAAGAACCUAUUCUAUUCAUGUACUUUGCACCAAGUAAUUGUUGGAUUUCU